rnacentral:rRNA from 1 species
AGAGUUUGAUCCUGGCUCAGGCUGAACGCUAUCUACAGGCUUAACACAUGCAAGUCGAGGGGAAACGACAUCGAAAGCUUGCUUUUGAUGGGCGUCGACCGGCUCACGGGUGAGUAACGCGUAUCCAACCUGCCCACCACUUGGGGAUAACCUUGCGAAAGUAAGACUAAUACCCAAUGACGUCUCUAGAAGACAUCUGAAAGAGAUUAAAGAUUUAUCGGUGAUGGAUGGGGAUGCGUCUGAUUAGCUUGUUGGCGGGGUAACGGCCCACCAAGGCGACGAUCAGUAGGGGUUCUGAGAGGAAGGUCCCCCACAUUGGAACUGAGACACGGUCCAAACUCCUACGGGAGGCAGCAGUGAGGAAUAUUGGUCAAUGGGCGAGAGCCUGAACCAGCCAAGUAGCGUGCAGGAUGACGGCCCUAUGGGUUGUAAACUGCUUUUAUAAGGGAAUAAAGUGAGCCUCGUGAGGCUUUUUGCAUGUACCUUAUGAAUAAGGACCGGCUAAUUCCGUGCCAGCAGCCGCGGUAAUACGGAAGGUCCGGGCGUUAUCCGGAUUUAUUGGGUUUAAAGGGAGCGUAGGCCGGAGAUUAAGCGUGUUGUGAAAUGUAGACGCUCAACGUCUGCACUGCAGCGCGAACUGGUNUCCUUGAGUACGCACAAAGUGGGCGGAAUUCGUGGUGUAGCGGUGAAAUGCUUAGAUAUCACGAAGAACUCCGAUUGCGAAGGCAGCUCACUGGAGCGCCACUGACGCUGAAGCUCCGAAGUGCGGGUAUCGAACAGGAUUACAUACAUAGGUAGUCCGCUCGCUAUUCGAUGGAUGCCUGAUGUGGUCUGUACAGUUCAUCGGCCAACCGUAAUCAUUAAGCAUCCCAGGCGGGGAGUAAUCCGGCGAUGGUGUGACUCGAAGGUAUUCAGUCGGGGACUGAACAAGAGGAGGCACAAGCGGUUUAAUUGGAUGAUAUAUGAGGAACUUUAACCGGGUUAGAAUCGCAGAGGAAGUAAUCGGAGACAAUGACGCCCUUCGGGACGUUUUUGAAGAUGGAGCAAGAUUCUUGUCAGCUGCUUCCGUGAGGAGUCGGGUUAAGUUCCAUGAUGCGAGCAACCCGUCUCUCUAGUCAGCAUCAGUUCAGAUUGUGCACUUGGGGGACAGUGACACCGUAAGCUAUGAGGUAGGAGGGGUCGACAUCCAAUCAGCGAGGACCUAUGAUCUGGGUCUAAACACGUGUAGCGAUGUCAGGGGCAGAGAGUUGAUGUUUUGCAAGGUAUAUCACAUCUGUGGAGCAGGUUUCAUAUUGCGGAAUGGAGUCUGCGACCCGACCACACGAAUCUGGAUUCAGAGUAGUAAUAUGUGCAUCACCCAUGACUCGCAGGAUACGUUGCCCGGACCUAGUACACAUCGCGAGUCAAGGUCGAAUUCUGUAGGAACAUGUCAGGGGCUAGUCCAAUUUAGUGAGGCUUAUUCUGGUUGCAGUCUGG